rnacentral:lncRNA from 10 species
CAGUAAUGACCAGACACAUCACACCCGCCUUCUAGAAGCCCUCCCUCACAAACCGGAUCAACUGCUAUGAUAAAGGCUCUGUGGUGCAAGCAGAGGAGAUGGUCAGCAGGCAGUCGGGUAGAGAGAGACCCAUGCUGGAGAGGGAUCUGGAAUUGCCAGUGUGUAGGUGGUGAGUGAGAAGCUGAAGAAGACAAUAAUGAUGCAGACUUUGGAAACCAUUCUGGACUCCCUGCUUCAGGAACUGCAAGUUUGAUCUAAAGAACCCACCCAGGUAAUCACUGCUUGCUCGGAUCCCAGCAAAUUCUAGAUCCCAGAACUAGUGCUCUUAGAGCCAAGGCCAGCCGAUCCAAGUCUGGACUACUGCUCAGAUGAGCCGAGCCUGAAUUUGGGAGUGGUUGUUACAGAGCAUUACCCUGGCAAUAACUGACUGAUGCAGAGAUGUAAAUAGACAUCACUGGUGGAGCCCCCAGGAAAGCUCUUUAACAGAAGACAGACUCAGCUGGCAGGUUUCCCGUCUCCUUGAAUGAAGACAGGCUCAAUGCUUGGAGGGGUGAGAGGAGGCAGCCAUCUUACAACCACAGGUCACAGGAAGACACUAAACAAGGCCGUGUGGAAAGACAGAAGGAGCCUCCAUCCCUCAGCACCACAGAGACAUUGUAUCAGCCUAGAAAUGCCUAAAUCUGAACUUCCUCUUACCUAAGAAAAAUAAAACCUCAAUUUGAUU